AGUGAAAUGACCCAGGCCUGGAGCGCCAAGUGCAAAGCUGGGACGACCGUUGCACCUCCUGGCAUGCCAGAGCACAGUGAGGUUCAAAAGAAGGGACAAGUGAAUAAAUUCCUCAGUUAGUUAUCCUGUAAUUGUGGUCUGUAGCAGCUAAGUCAAAGCAAAUCUAAUUUACACUUACCUUACAAUAGAGCUAAGGUAGUACUUUACCAAAAAUGGUUUUGAUUUAAGGUAAAAAUCAUACCUCAUCAACUUGAGUUUUAUUUACCUAAGGACCAAAAGAAGAAAAAGCCUGCUUAUAAAUAGUUUCUUCUAUACCCAGAUCAGUGGUUCUUAAAAGUGGUUUUAGUACCCACAGCAGUAGCAUAAUUUGUGAAUUUGUUAGGAAGUCAAAUUGGUGGGCCCCACCCCGACCUAAACUGAAUCAGAAUGUCUGGGGAUAGGGCCCAGAAACAAGUUCUCUGUUGGUUGUCAUGAACGUUAAAGGUUGUGAACCACUGACCUAAACAAUUGAGGAACAUUAAGGAACUUACGGUGUAUUCUCUCUAUAAAAGGUUUGGUUAUUCGUACUAGCACCUUAGGAUAGUUACCAAAACAAAACUACUAAUUUAUACUCUUUUUAAACUACAAGUUGCCUAUUUUAUGUAGGAGAGAUAUAAGAUUGUGAAAUUCUCCAAAAAUACCUGCCACACCCCUAACAGACAGGAGAUGAUAAGAGUAAAACAGAGAACUGGGAGGCUUUAGAAGCCCUAUUGUAAUAUUUCUUAAAACACAUUAUUUAAUGCUAAACAUAUUUAGUGUGAGCCAUAUAAAAAUUGCCAUUUUUGGAGGUCAAAAACCGUUGAAUAUCAGCAAUUAGUAUAGUUCAAUUUAUGUGAUUUCUAAUGUACCAAGUGCAAUAAUUUGGUCUCAUACUUGAUUUUUUAUUUCUUAGGCUGAGUCAUUAAAAGUUGAUCAGUGAUAUCUGGCAAAAUUAUUUAAAGUGCUUGAGGAAUUGGGGAGACUUGCUGCUUAUGUGAUCAGAUACACAAAAAUGAAGUUUUUCAUUUCAUUAAAUAUUUGAUUAAAACUGCUAAGUUUGAAAAUGUUUACCAAGAAAUAGUUUGCAGAAAUUUUGCUAACUUGAUAGAAUAAAGGCUUUUGAGCAAU
rnacentral:lncRNA from 1 species